GGUAAACAUUUUUUCUUCUCACUUACAUUUUGGGCCUCAUAAAGCCCCAAAAAAGUUCUGGCAAAGAAGUUCCUCAGCCAGCGGCAAAUACGUUGAGAAAAGCCCAAAAAAAGCAUCUAAAUUGUCUGAUAAAGUGACAAAAACAUCGUAAAAAGCACCAAAAACUUCCGGAAAAGUGGCAAAACAUUGAGUAAAGCAUCCACAACGUUAAAACAAAGUGCCUAAAGCAUUAAAAAAGAAGCGCAUAAACCGCCGUAAAAAGGCGUCAAAAAUGUAAAAAAAUAAAAUAAAAGCACCAAAAACUUGGGAAAAAGCAACAAAAAGUUAGGCAGGCCUAAAUCUACUGUGAACAUAAAUUGAUUUGCGGGCCGGAUCAACAUUUGCGAGGGGCCGGAUUUGGCCCGCGGGCCUCGAGUUGGACACGUGUGAUUAAAGCGUCGGAAAAAGCGUCCAAGGCUCUGUUCACACUUGGCGUCUUUGUUGAAGCUGCCAGCGUCUGUUUUACGUUAUAAUCCUGUACGGAGGAAACGUGUUUUUAAAACAGUCGUGAGCGCUUUAUUAAACGCCAUCUCCGACUUCUUUUCCUGCAGCUCGGAGCGUCUUUUUGAUGUUGAAAAAAGUUCUACUUUUCU